AGUAUCUGUGAUAUCAAAAAUGUAAACCUUAAGAGGAAUAACAAGAUCAUCAUCCCAAUCCACCCACUUGACUGUAUAUCUAGCAUACAAGUUCCUUUGUUGAUCAUCUCCUAAUUCAUUAUCAUACCCUUUUUUCACUUUACAUUGGGUCUGAUCAUAACAACAUCUUAAACCUCCAAUAUAAUCAUCUUCCAAAGCCAUUCCCAACCCAUCUUUUGUAACAUUAUACAAAUGACGUUUGCAUUCAAUACAUCCAAUUCUAUCUUCAACACCUCUUGUAUCAAUGGCAUGAAUAUUAAGAACCCAUUUCUCUUCAUACCCUAAAGGGACUUCCUUUUCAUUACCAACUUCUAUUCCAUAUGGGUGUGGAAGAAAUGAGGAUGUUUUUCUUGAAUCUGCCCCUGUCCCAAAGAAUUGUGGAAGUGCAUGUUUUUGACAUACUCCACUGUUUCCUGCUAUUAUGAAAUUUGGUUCUUGGAGUUGAGUGAAGGAAGUGUUGAUGUGUGGAUCUUUUGUGUCUUUGCGUUGGUAAUACCUGUUGUUGUUGCACAAAAAUAUGUUAUUUUAGAUCGGUAAAAAUAUAAAUGUUUCUCAAAUAAUCAAUUAAACAUGUAUAUACUCACUACUAAUAUCACUGCUAAUACAGUCAAUCUAAACUCGUAUACUUCAUAACUAACUCCAUUUCAAACAAAUUAUUUAAUACUCCGCAUUGCAAGCAAACUUCCUGAAUUAGUGAGGUAAAAUACUCUUAAUUAGACACCAAAAACGUAUAGAUCAUUUGACUUGACUCAGAUUAUAAUAACAACAAAAACUAUUACGACUAACUUAUUCUCUGGAAAAUCUUAUUACAAUAAUGUUAUUCAUAAAAGAGAUGUGCCUGAUCAACAGUAAUGAGUUAUGUUAAGAAAUAUUCGAUUGCCUAGAAAAGAGAGAGAGAAAUGGUAUAGACAGUAAAUAAAACAAUAAGAGUAAUAAUAGUACCUUAGAAUUCCCCAAUGGUGAAGAUAAGUUUCAAAGAGAGGGAUGGGAUUGUCUUCUUCAUCUACGACUUCAACAUCAAAACUUUUGAUAGCAAUAUGGCCUUCGGGAAAGUUGGUAUUAUAGAAGAAUCUCUCCACUACAUGGCCAGGUUUUAAAGUGAAGAAUGGAGUCAUAUAAGUCUUUGUUUUUAUGACUUGAUGAUCGUUCUUGUUGUUUAUUACAACCCCUUCCAAAUAUGGUAUCAUAAUUCCUAUGGAAGAGAGCAGUAGCAACCACCGAAAACAUUGGUGAUGCUUCAACAUUUUUCUUUGUUUGAUUCUGCAAAAAAAAUAUGAACCGUAAUACGGUUUAAAUAAUCGAAAAAAAGAUGAACAAAUAUUCAGUGACGUGACAGAUUUUGAGUGAGAGUAUAGUUGGUAUUACUGUAUAAUAUAAAUGGAAUGAUGAUAUAAUGAUAAUAUUGGGAGUAGGGAAUAAAGGAAGUGGGUGGAAAAGAGAGAUUUUCUUAACAUAAGAAUAUGGUUAUAAUUUCUCUGCCUAUUUUUAUAAUCUAAAUUGUCACCUAAUUCUUUUUAAAUUAAUUAAGGGACAAAACUCACCUAAUUUAAUUUAAAGUACUAAAUUAAAAUAUUUUCUAGAUUUGGAUGCUAGCUUUUGAAAUAUAAGAGAUUUUUAGCAUCUCAUCAAAAUCACUAAUUACACACUUUUAAUGACUAACAAAAAAAGCGCGUAAAGUUUUGACUUCUAGGGUACGAUCUUGAAAAUUUUGAAAGUAAAAAAACCAUGAUCUUAUUUUGUUGAGGCAAGAUUUACAACACCCAAAAAUCCUUUUCAUGUAAUUAGAUCAAAGCAUACCGAAUCACAACAUUAUUAUACUAAUAUACUUUGAAUUAGGUAAAAACGAAUUAGGUAAAAAGGUCUAAUUCUUAAGACACCAUUAAAAAGUGAAUUUUGAAUGAGUUGAUGCUCCAAAUCACUCACUCUCAAACUUUCUUCGAUCAUCUCAUGCUCACACUCUAAAAACCAAAUGAUCGAAACAAUAUAUAUAGUUUUCAAACUUUUUAAAACAACAAUUUAACUAAUUCUUAAAACAACAGUGAAUUGUGAAUAGUAAGCUCUACGGUCGACUAAAUGUGAACGUUAAUAAAAAGAGUAUUCUCAACAGUGAAAAAAAAGACUUCUUAGUAUCAACAAAUGGUAUAUAUGUAUAUGCUUCAUUAAUAUUGGAUAAUCAUGCCUCUAACCUAUAACACAUAUGUAACUCAAAAUCAUGUCUACAUCAAUAUUAACAUAUUGAUGGAUAGAAGAUGAAUUAAGAAAUUACUAACCGUAGAGAUUCUUGAAGAAGAGAGGAAGAAGAAGAAGAAGAACAAGACGGAUGCAAAUAAUAGAAAGAGCUUUUGAUUUGAUUGGCAAUGGCGGAUUUGAUUAUUUCUCAAUCUAUAUUUUAUCGAUGGCUUAGCUGGAAGACCAUUUAACAUAAACUUAGCUUUUUUAAAAGAUCCAAAAUAUAAUUAUUAUUAAUGCUAAAAAUAAUGUCAUAAUAAAGACAUUAAACAACAAGAUUAUAUUAUUCUAAUAAUUAAUUAUAUGUUAAAAAAGUUCUCAAACAUUUUGGUGUUCACUUUGUUGUUUGGUUCUUAUCAUGACUUCUUCUCUUUUUUUUUCUUCUUUUUGGUAUUAUCUAAAAAUAGUUCUAAAAUAAAUAGAAAAAUUUCCAACUUAAUAAUAAAUUAAAAUUAUAAAGUUUGUAGGGAAGACAAAAAAACAAAAACAGCUCAAAACACCAUUUUUUUUAAAUAAAGAAUGCAAUUAAUUAAAAAAAAUCAAAACAAAGAAACAAAAAUGCAGAAAUAUAUAUAAAAUUGAAAAAAAGUAAAACAUAAAUAAUUAAAUUGUUAACUUUUAGUGUAAAAAGUUAAGGAGAAGAUAUAUAUUUCUUUUGGUAAAGGAUCCAGAAAGAUUCACCUAAUUCAUAUACUAAAAGGAUUCAUUAUUUUUAAUAGAUGAUAUAUAUAUAUAUAUUGCACAAGUUGCAUUGCAUUUUUGUAUAUAUAAAUAUUGGUGGACCAAAUCAAAUAGAUUCAAUUAAUUCGGUUCGAUAUUUGAAUAAGUUUUAUCAUAAAAUGAAACUAUCUUCAGCUUAGUUCUACUUUUUAUUUAUACAAAUUAAAUUUUUAAGAAACAAAACUAGAGAACGUGAGUAUGUCUAUUGCUUAUACCUCAUCUGAUCCAUUCACCCUGUAGUUAAUAUCUACAAGUUUUGGUUGUCUUUUGGGAUCAACGCCCUUUUGUAGCCAAAGUGUAAAAAAAUAUAUAUCGAAUGAGUAUAGAGAAGUCGAGUAUGGUAGGAACUACUGAUAUUCAAAGUUUCUCUACAAAAAUUUAUUUUAUUAUUUCUUUUUAGGUUAUUUGUUAAAUUGUUUUCUUUUUUAAAGUUUGGUUGUUUUAGUACAACUCUCUUUUCUAUGUAUCUUAACUUAAUGCAACUGACAUACAUUUUUACUAUGAGAAGAUAUUCAAACACACUGUACAAUCUUAUAUUAUAAUUACAUUAUACAAACACACAAACUUUUAUACCAUAGUGUCAAACUAUAGGUAUAAAUUAGUAGAUGACAGAGUUCAUUAUCGUCAUCUUCUUCAUAGACCCACCAAUUGUAAUAUAAUAAUGUAAAGAUUUUACAUGGUGAUCUUCUUUUUACGAUCAUCAGCAAGUUGUUUGAGUGGUUCCAUUUGAAUGAUUGAGUUUGGUAACUUUUGUGCAACCAUAAUAUGAAAGAAACCCAUAACUCCAAUGUGAGUUUAAGAAGGAUGAUAUUUGGAUAUCAUAGUUAACAUUUCUUUAUUGUUGAUUUUGACAGAGCCUGGCUUUGGAUAACAAGUUGACAUCCCAACCACAUACCCCUUUUCAUUCCCUAUUUCACUUCCAUUUCCAUAUAUGGGAGAUGAAGAACAUAGAUCUCUUCCAUCCUAAUAAAUGUAUAAAUACAUAUAAUUCACAAACUUAAUAAAACUUCUGUCACGUAUAAUUCGGUUAAAUUAUAAAUUUAGUUUUUUACCUUUAGAUUGAAAACUUCAAAAAGUAUCUAUAAUUAAACAAACACUGUGCAGUAAACAUUUUGUUUCUGGUUUUUUGUUUUUAAAAAUUAAACUUAUUUUCUCUAAUUUUUUAAAUUAGUGUAUUUUUUAAGUACAUAUCUAAAGGUUAUUUGACACAAAAUUGAAAUAUAAAAUUAAAAGAUCAACUACGUAUAUUUUUUACACACAUCAAAGUUUAAAAAAUGUGUAAUUUAAUUUUAUAAGGAAUGAAGAGACCAAUUAUUAAGAUAAACAAGAAAAAAAUACCUGUCCAUAAAGCACUGAACCAAGACCACCAACAUGGAGAUGGGCCAUUCCAUAUAUGAUAUAGCCACUACUUGGAGACAAUAACCUCACCAUUUUUGUAGCAUUACAUUCAUCACCAACCUUGUUUGUGGAGCAAGUCCCUCCUACAUUAUACUCCACCUAUACACAAACCAUCAAAUAUUUAAUAUACAUGAUGUGUAUAUAUAUAGCAAAUGGAUAAAUAGUUGACUUACAAGACAAUUAUGUUGUUGAGGAGCUCCUGUUGAGUCCAUCAAUGGCUUCCAAGUGUCUGUGAUAUCAAAAAUAUAAACCUUAAGAGGAAUAACAAGAUCAUCAUCCCAAUCCACCCACUUGACUGUAUAUCUAACAUACAAAUUCCUUUGUUGAUCAUCUCCUAACUUAUUUUCAUACCCUUUUUUCACUUUACAUUGAGUUUGAUCAUAACAACAUCUUAAACCUCCAAUAUAAUCAUCUUCCAAAGCCAUUCCCAACCCAUCUUUUGUAACAUUAUACAAAUGACGUUUACAUUCAAUACAU
rnacentral:lncRNA from 1 species